CCUACGGGAGGCAGCAGUAGGGAAUCUUCGGCAAUGGACGGAAGUCUGACCGAGCAACGCCGCGUGAGUGAAGAAGGUUUUCGGAUCGUAAAGCUCUGUUGUAAGAGAAGAACGAGUGUGAGAGGGGAAAGUUCACACUGUGACGGUAUCUUACCAGAAAGGGACGGCUAACUACGUGCCAGCAGCCACGGUAAUACGUAGGUCCCGAGCGUUGUCCGGAUUUAUUGGGCGUAAAGCGAGCGCAGGCGGUUAGAUAAGUCUGAAGUUAAAGGCUGUGGCUUAACCAUAGUACGCUUUGGAUACUGUUUAACUUGAGUGCAAUAGGGGAGAGUGGAAUUCCAUGUGUAGCGGUGAAAUGCGUAGAUAUAUGGAGGAACACCGGUGGCGAAAGCGGCUCUCUGGCUUGUAACUGACGCUGAGGCUCGAAAGCGUGGGGAGCAAACAGGAUUAGAUACCCCUGUAGUC
rnacentral:rRNA from 1 species